AUGUUGAACAAAUAUUGCACCACACUGACAAGUACAGAGACACACUGAUAGAUCAAAUCCAUCUCAAAAAGGGAAAAAAUUUAACUUCAUAGCAAGGACCACUUCGACGACACUCAAACAUGUCGGACCGUUAUUCCAGCAGCAUGCCUAAAACCCAUGGAGAACAGGAGAAGGAGAAAUGGAAGAAUGAGAAGGACAAGAAGGAGGAAAUAAGACGGAACAUGAAGAAAAAUGUUCGGGCAAACCGCCAGGACCCGCACGCGCGUCGUCGCUCCAGCAGCGGUUCUUCAAGCGGGGGGUUUGGAGUCUUUGACUAGUCAAGGACAACGGCGUCAUUGAGACCCUGACGGGAAACUGAUUGAGGCUUUCAGUUUCGAAAUUUAUGAAAACUACAUGUAUUACUUGAUAGUUUCAAGAAGUUUAUCUAGGUUGAGGACAACCGUCUGUGGGUGUAUUUGAUCUGUAGAUUUUGACAGCAAACUUUGCAUCUGUAUUGCUUUGUGUUAGGGUAUCCUGUGUGAUUUUAAUGUAGAAAUAUAUGUUAACAAAGAACAACAAACAUAAACAACCAUUUCAUUUUUGGUCGGCAUCGUUUGAUGUCAAAGACCACCAUCUGACUAGAAGUCAAACUAUAUCAGUGUAGAGGAAAUUGACAGUCUGUUUCUCCAAGAAUUCAACGUUGGGCUUUCAACCCCAGCAAACAGGCGACAUGAACAAGCGUGUUGGUAUUCCAGAACACGUCCUAGUGCAGCGGGACUUUGCUUUGUCUCUCCUAGACUGUGACAUUCGAUUAUCUUGCUUGUUAAUGAGUAUAACAUAUUAUAAGCUUAAUUAACGUAAGGUCCCCUUGGGAGCCCAAAUGAUUCGUUUCUGUACAAUGUAGGUGUGGUGUGGUGUGGCUAGGCCAAAAAAUUAAAAAAAAACUUUUAAAAACUUUA